rnacentral:lncRNA from 1 species
UACUUACUCUUGAAUUUAACCGAUGUGGGAUUCAUGUGAAAUCCCAACAAUCUCCACCUUUCACUUCAUUAAGCACAGCACACACCUUCUUUGAAUCCUUCAAGAGCUCUUUGCUCGACUCUAAUCCUACUCCCAGCAGUUUUUCCUAGAGCCAUCCCGAACCAUGCUCCACCCGAUUCAAAUACCCAUGCUCCACCCGAUUCAACUCUAUUUACUCCACCCACGAGGCCUACGAAUUGUACCUCUCGCGCACCCCCUCGCACCUUGAAGUUGAUACUUGGACUCCCACCGAACCAUCUAUUCAUUCCACAUCUAUUCAUCACCUUAGCAGCGCACACACCUGUGUAGACGAGCCCAAUAAGUAUGUUGGACCACC